rnacentral:rRNA from 1 species
GUCCUAGCCCUAAACGAUGCUCAUUAGGUGUGGGAGGUAUCGACCCCUUCCGCGCCGUAGCUAACGCAUUAAAUGAGCCGCCUGGGGAGUACGGCCGCAAGGUUGAAACUCAAAGGAAUUGACGGGGGCCCGCACAAGCGGUGGAGCAUGUGGUUUAAUUCGACGCAACGCGAAGAACCUUACCUGGGCUUGAACUACUGGUAGUAAGUCUUUGGAAACAUGGACUGAUCCGCAAGGAAGCCAGCAGAGGUGCUGCAUGGUUGUCGU